UAGAUGAAGCAAUUUUUGUUGCCAAUACCCUUUAAGGAGCAAACUCGCUUUUUAAAAAAAAAGAAAUAUGUAUUAAUUUCGAUCCAGAUUUGUUCCUGAACAUGGUCGCCAUGAAAACACUCUGUAGAGCAAGCCAAUAUCAGCGACGUACGGUCAUAAUAGCGUUGUCGGAAGUUUGCAUUCAGCAUUUCGUUCAAAAUUAAACGUACAUUAUGUUAAUAAGUUGCUAGGGUUGCGUACAAUCGGUACCCACAUUUUAAAGGGAAUCACUAAUAUGUAUAAAUAGGGCGUGCGCACGAAGUUUUUUUCGCAGGCCUUUAACUUCGGGGAAAAUAAUAAAAAAGCAGUGUCCGUGGUCGGGGCUGAAUAGUACUGUGGAAGAUUGGGUUGGGAAAUUUGCAAUUAAGAUCUGUAUUUUUGGGCAAUUG
rnacentral:lncRNA from 1 species